GAUGAACGCUGGCGGCGUGCCUAAUACAUGCAAGUCGAGCGAACGGACGAGAAGCUUGCUUCUCUGAUGUUAGCGGCGGACGGGUGAGUAACACGUGGAUAACCUACCUAUAAGACUGGGAUAACUUCGGGAAACCGGAGCUAAUACCGGAUGAUAUUUUGAACCGCAUGGUUCAAAAGUGAAAGACGGUCUUGCUGUCACUUAUAGAUGGAUCCGCGCUGCAUUAGCUAGUUGGUAAGGUAACGGCUUACCAAGGCAACGAUGCAUAGCCGACCUGAGAGGGUGACCGGCCACACUGGAACUGAGACACGGUCCAGACUCCUACGGGAGGCAGCAGUAGGGAAUCUUCCGCAAUGGGCGAAAGCCUGACGGAGCAACGCCGCGUGAGUGAUGAAGGUCUUCGGAUCGUAAAACUCUGUUAUUAGGGAAGAACAUAUGUGUAAGUAACUGUGCACAUCUUGACGGUACCUAAUCAGAAAGCCACGGCUAACUACGUG
rnacentral:rRNA from 1 species